rnacentral:rRNA from 1 species
UUUAUGGAGAGUUUGAUCCUGGCUCAGGAUGAACGCUGGCGGCGUGCCUAAUACAUGCAAGUCGAGCGAACGGACGAGAAGCUUGCUUCUCUGAUGUUAGCGGCGGACGGGUGAGUAACACGUGGAUAACCUACCUAUAAGACUGGGAUAACUUCGGGAAACCGGAGCUAAUACCGGAUAAUAUUUUGAACCGCAUGGUUCAAAAGUGAAAGACGGUCUUGCUGUCACUUAUAGAUGGAUCCGCGCUGCAUUAGCUAGUUGGUAAGGUAACGGCUUACCAAGGCAACGAUGCAUAGCCGACCUGAGAGGGUGAUCGGCCACACUGGAACUGAGACACGGUCCAGACUCCUACGGGAGGCAGCAGUAGGGAAUCUUCCGCAAUGGGCGAAAGCCUGACGGAGCAACGCCGCGUGAGUGAUGAAGGUCUUCGGAUCGUAAAACUCUGUUAUUAGGGAAGAACAUAUGUGUAAGUAACUGUGCACAUCUUGACGGUACCUAAUCAGAAAGCCACGGCUAACUACGUGCCAGCAGCCGCGGUAAUACGUAGGUGGCAAGCGUUAUCCGGAAUUAUUGGGCGUAAAGCGCGCGUAGGCGGUUUUUUAAGUCUGAUGUGAAAGCCCACGGCUCAACCGUGGAGGGUCAUUGGAAACUGGAAAACUUGAGUGCAGAAGAGGAAAGUGGAAUUCCAUGUGUAGCGGUGAAAUGCGCAGAGAUAUGGAGGAACACCAGUGGCGAAGGCGACUUUCUGGUCUGUAACUGACGCUGAUGUGCGAAAGCGUGGGGAUCAAACAGGAUUAGAUACCCUGGUAGUCCACGCCGUAAACGAUGAGUGCUAAGUGUUAGGGGGGUUCCGCCCCUUAGUGCUGCAGCUAACGCAUUAAGCACUCCGCCUGGGGAGUACGACCGCAAGGUUGAAACUCAAAGGAAUUGACGGGGACCCGCACAAGCGGUGGAGCAUGUGGUUUAAUUCGAAGCAACGCGAAGAACCUUACCAAAUCUUGACAUCCUUUGACAACUCUAGAGAUAGAGCCUUCCCCUUCGGGGGACAAAGUGACAGGUGGUGCAUGGUUGUCGUCAGCUCGUGUCGUGAGAUGUUGGGUUAAGUCCCGCAACGAGCGCAACCCUUAAGCUUAGUUGCCAUCAUUAAGUUGGGCACUCUAAGUUGACUGCCGGUGACAAACCGGAGGAAGGUGGGGAUGACGUCAAAUCAUCAUGCCCCUUAUGAUUUGGGCUACACACGUGCUACAAUGGACAAUACAAAGGGCAGCGAAACCGCGAGGUCAAGCAAAUCCCAUAAAGUUGUUCUCAGUUCGGAUUGUAGUCUGCAACUCGACUACAUGAAGCUGGAAUCGCUAGUAAUCGUAGAUCAGCAUGCUACGGUGAAUACGUUCCCGGGUCUUGUACACACCGCCCGUCACACCACGAGAGUUUGUAACACCCGAAGCCGGUGGAGUAACCUUUUAGGAGCUAGCCGUCGAAGGUGGGACAAAUGAUUGGGGUGAAGUCGUAACAAGGUAGCCGUAUCGGAAGGUGCGGCUGGAUCACCUCCUUUCU